CCUCUAGAAAAUGUAAAAAGUUGUUCACUCUGUCCUCAGUGCUUAGAACCGUGCCUGGAUAGCCUGCAAAGGUCCUCAGUAAAUAUUGGUUGAAAGGAUAAAUGCAAGAAGCCCUCUGCCUGCAGGUGGAGACGGUGGGUCUGCUCCCCCUCCCCCAACACACAUGCACAAGCCAGGUAUGGGCUGGGGCGCUAAGGAAGGCUUUGGAGAGUCUGGAAUUGACCCAGGGAAAUUGAGAGGACCGGGACUGCUAGAGGGUUUAGGGUCCCUGCAGGUGUCUGUCUGUCUGUCUUGUACCUGGGCCUCCAGCACAGGCUGUGCUCAAGUUGACCCAGCCCCUCAGCUCCCCUGCUGAGACUAUUGAGUCUGUUAUCUGCCAAGCUGCAAAUGUGGUUUUUCUUACCUCCCUGGCUGGUGUGUGUGUGUGUGUGUGUGUGUGUGAAGCUUCUGAGAAUGGGGCAGCUUUCUCCUACAGGAAGGCCUGGGGUUUCUGUCCCCAUAUGCUCUGGACCUUAGCUAGGGGAAGCCCAUGGACAAGGCCUGCUGCCUGAGCUGGAGCUAGGACCACCUUCCAGGGACUGCCCAGGACUCCUGUGCUCCGACUCUUCUGCUGGCAAGUCCAGGCAACCGAGUCUGAAGAGGCCUGUGGGGAAACAGGGCGAGACAAGGCCUCACACAGCUGCCCCAAGAGAGCCUCAGAAGAAGACAGCUGUCAGCCAGGCAAAACCAAGACCACCGUCACCAUGACAACCAAUCAGCAGCCUCAGGACAGAUACAAAGCCGUCUGGAUUAUCUUCUUCAUGCUGGGUCUGGGGACCCUGCUCCCCUGGAAUUUUUUCAUGACAGCCACCCAGUACUUCACAAAACGCCUGGACCAGCCCCAGAAUGUGUCCUCGGUCACUGCCAAACUGGACAGGGACAUCCAGGCGUCAGUCGCCCCCACAACACCCUCUCCGGAGCGGAGCUACCUGAGUGUCAUCUUCAACAAUGUCAUGACCUUGUGUGCCAUGCUGCCCCUGCUGCUCUUCACCUGCCUCAACUCCUUCUUGCAUCGGAGGAUCCCCCAGGCUGUCCGGAUCCUGGGCAGCCUACUGGCUAUCCUGCUGGUGUUCCUGAUCACCGCUGUCCUGGUGAAGGUGCCCAUGGAUGCCCUGCCCUUCUUCGUCAUCACCAUGAUCAAGAUCAUGCUCAUUAACUCAUUUGGUGCCAUCCUGCAGGGCAGCCUCUUUGGUCUGGCUGGCCUCCUGCCUGCCAGCUACACGACCCCCAUCAUGAGCGGCCAGGGCCUGGCGGGCAUCUUCGCCUCCGUGGCCAUGAUCUGCGCCAUUGCCAGUGGCUCAGAGCUGGCAAAAAGUGCCUUCGGCUAUUUUAUCACAGCCUGUGGGGUCAUCGUUUUGACCAUCAUUUGUUACCUGGGACUGCCCCGGCUGGAAUUCUACCGCUACUACCUGCAGCUCAAGCUUGAAGGGUCUGGGGAGCAGGAGACCAAGUUGGACCUCAUUAGUAAAGGAGAGGAGCCAGGAGCAGGCAAAGAGGAGUCUGGAGUUUCAGCCCCCAGCUCUCAGCCCACCAGUAAAAGCCACUCAGUUCAAGCCAUCCUCAAAAAUAUCUUAGUCCCGGCUCUCUCGGUCUGCUUCAUCUUCACGAUCACCAUUGGGUUGUUUCCUGCCGUUACUGCUGAGGUCAAGUCCAGCAUUGCAGGCAGCAGUGCCUGGGGAAAAUACUUCACCCCUGUGUCCUGUUUCUUGACUUUCAAUGUCUUUGACUGGCUGGGCCGAAGCCUCACAGCCGUGUCCAUGUGGGUCAAGAUGGAGAACAUUUCCAGCAUUCCAGAAAUUUCUACUCUGCUCUCUCCCCAUCAGUACCCAUAAGGGUAACCAGGUUUUGAGGUUUCAAUGAAGAUCCUGAAGGGUUCCAUAUGCAGCCUGGGGGUCUGGGUGUGCCCUGGGGUGGGGGGGGGGCAGCCCGGCUGAGGCGCCGCCUGGUCCCCACAGCCUGGGAAGGACAGCCGCUGGCUGCCAAGCCUGGUGCUGGCCCGGCUGGUGUUCGUGCCCCUGCUGCUGCUGUGCAACGUCAGCGAACGCCGACUCCUGCCUGUGCUCUUUAAGCAUGACGCCUGGUUCAUCGUCUUCAUGGCCGCCUUCGCCUUCUCCAAUGGCUACCUCGCCAGUCUGUGCAUGUGCUUCGGGCCCAAGAAAGUGAAGCCGGCUGAGGCGGAGACCGCUGGAGCCAUCAUGGCCUUCUUUCUGUGUCUGGGCCUGGCGCUGGGGGCUGUCGUCUCCUUCCUGUUCCGGGCAAUUGUGUGACCACGGAUGCACAGAGGACUGCACUGGCUACCUGCUCACGCCCCUUAUUUACCCUUCAGGCAUGGGCAGGGGUUGGCUGGAGGUGUUCUCUUCUAGCUGAAUUCUGCUUUCUCACAGCCUGCGCUGGGCCUGGUGUCCAGGCCCCAGCGAGGGACCCUCUGGGUGGGCAGUUGGAUGUUGGAGACAUUGUGGGCCCGCAGGUCAGAGUCAAGGAAGGGGACACAGUGUCUGCAUAUGUGUGGAUCCCCCACACUUGGCUCUGACUGACCCCUACUUGAGCGGGACGGCAGAGGCUCUUAGGCUGGGAGAGGGAGUGUGUCUGCAGGUUCGUGUGCCUGUACCAGGGGUGGUGAGGGGCCAGGACUGUCUGUCCUAAGGUCCCGUCCGGUGUGUGCACCCCUCCCUGUGCCUCCUCCCACAAGCUUUCUGUCCCUCUCUGCUUCCCCUGCCUUGUAUCUACCUGUCAUAUACCCUGUACAGUUGCCACACUUUACUGCCUUUUUUUAUACUCAACAGAAAUCAGGUGCCUUCAGAGGCUCUCUGACUAAAUAAACCAUUGUAUUUUC